UGGGGAAUAUUGGACAAUGGGCGAAAGCCUGAUCCAGCAAUGCCGCGUGUGUGAAGAAGGCCUUCGGGUUGUAAAGCACUUUAGUUUGGGAAGAAAAAGCUUCACCUAAUACGUGAAGCCUUGACGGUACCAAAGGAAUAAGCACCGGCUAACUCUGUGCCAGCAGCCGCGGUAAUACAGAGGGUGCUAGCGUUAAUCGGAUUUACUGGGCGUAAAGCGUGUGUAGGCGGUUUGUUAAGUCGGAUGUGAAAGCCCUGGGCUCAACCUAGGAAUCGCAUUCGAUACUGGCAGGCUAGAGUACGGUAGAGGGUGGCGGAAUUCCGGGUGUAGCGGUGAAAUGCGUAGAUAUCCGGAGGAACACCGAUGGCGAAGGCAACCACCUGGGCCUGUACUGACGCUGAGACACGAAAGCGUGGGGAGCAAACA
rnacentral:rRNA from 1 species